AACGAACGCUGGCGGCAGGCUUAACACAUGCAAGUCGAGCGCCUCGCAAGAGGAGCGGCAGACGGGUGAGUAACACGUGGGAAUCUACCCAUCCCUGCGGAACAACUCCGGGAAACUGGAGCUAAUACCGCAUACGCCCUACGGGGGAAAGAUUUAUCGGGGAUGGAUGAGCCCGCGUUGGAUUAGCUAGUUGGUGGGGUAAAGGCCUACCAAGGCGACGAUCCAUAGCUGGUCUGAGAGGAUGAUCAGCCACAUUGGGACUGAGACACGGCCCAAACUCCUACGGGAGGCAGCAGUGGGGAAUAUUGGACAAUGGGCGCAAGCCUGAUCCAGCCAUGCCGCGUGAGUGAUGAAGGCCUUAGGGUUGUAAAGCUCUUUCACCGAUGAAGAUAAUGACGGUAGUCGGAGAAGAAGCCCCGGCUAACUUCGUGCCAGCCGCCGCCGUAAAAC
rnacentral:rRNA from 1 species